UACGUAGGGUGCGAGCGUUGUCCGGAAUUAUUGGGCGUAAAGAGCUCGUAGGCGGUCUGUCGCGUCUGCUGUGAAAUCCCGAGGCUCAACCUCGGGCCUGCAGUGGGUACGGGCAGACUAGAGUGCGGUAGGGGAGAUUGGAAUUCCUGGUGUAGCGGUGAAAUGCGCAGAUAUCGGGAGGAACACCUAUGGCGAAGGCAGCUCGCUGGGACGUUACUGACGCUGAGACGCGAAAGCGUGGGGAGCAAACAGG
rnacentral:rRNA from 1 species